GACGAACGCUGGCGGCGUGCCUAAUACAUGCAAGUCGAGCGGACUUUCAAGAAGCUUGCUUUUUGAAAGUUAGCGACGGACGGGUGAGUAAAACGUGGGCAACCUGCCUGCAAGUCGGGGAUAACUCCGGGAAACCGGGGCUAAUACCGGAUAAUAUCUUCCUUCGCAUGAAGGAAGGUUGAAAGGCGGCGCAAGCUGCCGCUUGCAGAUGGGCCCGCGGCGCAUUAGCUAGUUGGUGAGGUAACGGCUCACCAAGGCGACGAUGCGUAGCCGACCUGGGAGGGUGAUCGGCCACACUGGGACUGAGACACGGCCCAGACUCCUACGGGAGGCAGCAGUAGGGAAUCUUCCGCAAUGGACGAAAGUCUGACGGAGCAACGCCGCGUGAGCGAAGAAGGUCUUCGGAUCGUAAAGCUCUGUUGUCAGGGAAGAACAAGUACCGUUCGAACAGGGCGGUACCUUGACGGUACCUGACCAGAAAGCCACGGCUAACUACGUG
rnacentral:rRNA from 1 species